rnacentral:rRNA from 1 species
CAUGCAAGUCGAGCGGUAGCACAGAGAGCUUGCUCUCGGGUGACGAGCGGCGGACGGGUGAGUAAUGUCUGGGAAACUGCCUGAUGGAGGGGGAUAACUACUGGAAACGGUAGCUAAUACCGCAUAACGUCGCAAGACCAAAGAGGGGGACCUUCGGGCCUCUUGCCAUCAGAUGUGCCCAGAUGGGAUUAGCUAGUAGGUGGGGUAACGGCUCACCUAGGCGACGAUCCCUAGCUGGUCUGAGAGGAUGACCAGCCACACUGGAACUGAGACACGGUCCAGACUCCUACGGGAGGCAGCAGUGGGGAAUAUUGCACAAUGGGCGCAAGCCUGAUGCAGCCAUGCCGCGUGUAUGAAAAAGGCCUUCGGGUUGUAAAGUACUUUCAGCGGGGAGGAAGGCGAUAAGGUUAAUAACCUUGUCGAUUGACGUUACCCGCAGAAAAAGCACCGGCUAACUCCGUGCCAGCAGCCGCGGUAAUACGGAGGGUGCAAGCGUUAAUCGGAAUUACUGGGCGUAAAGCGCACGCAGGCGGUCUGUCAAGUCGGAUGUGAAAUCCCCGGGCUCAACCUGGGAACUGCAUUCGAAACUGGCAGGCUAGAGUCUUGUAGAGGGGGGUAGAAUUCCAGGUGUAGCGGUGAAAUGCGUAGAGAUCUGGAGGAAUACCGGUGGCGAAGGCGGCCCCCUGGACAAAGACUGACGCUCAGGUGCGAAAGCGUGGGGAGCAAACAGGAUUAGAUACCCUGGUAGUCCACGCCGUAAACGAUGUCGACUUGGAGGUUGUGCCCUUGAGGCGUGGCUUCCGGAGCUAACGCGUUAAGUCGACCGCCUGGGGAGUACGGCCGCAAGGUUAAAACUCAAAUGAAUUGACGGGGGCCCGCACAAGCGGUGGAGCAUGUGGUUUAAUUCGAUGCAACGCGAAGAACCUUACCUACUCUUGACAUCCAGAGAACUUUCCAGAGAUGGAUUGGUGCCUUCGGGAACUCUGAGACAGGUGCUGCAUGGCUGUCGUCAGCUCGUGUUGUGAAAUGUUGGGUUAAGUCCCGCAACGAGCGCAACCCUUAUCCUUUGUUGCCAGCGGUUAGGCCGGGAACUCAAAGGAGACUGCCAGUGAUAAACUGGAGGAAGGUGGGGAUGACGUCAAGUCAUCAUGGCCCUUACGAGUAGGGCUACACACGUGCUACAAUGGCGCAUACAAAGAGAAGCGACCUCGCGAGAGCAAGCGGACCUCAUAAAGUGCGUCGUAGUCCGGAUUGGAGUCUGCAACUCGACUCCAUGAAGUCGGAAUCGCUAGUAAUCGUAGAUCAGAAUGCUACGGUGAAUACGUUCCCGGGCCUUGUACACACCGCCCGUCACACCAUGGGAGUGGGUUGCAAAAGAAGUAGGUAGCUUAACCUUCGGGAGGGCGCUUACCAC